GUAAGUGCCCAGUGCCCUUAGGGGCAGCAGAGGCAACAGCAGCAGCAGCCUGCCAGGUGGACUCUGGUUGUUUGGCUUUUGCCUGCAAAAAGCACCCUGGUGCCAUGGCAACCACUGGAGCUGGCACCUUCAAGGUCAUGGUGAUCCAGCAUAGCCAGGCCUUCUAUGGGCAGCAGCCUUGGGGGUUACCAGUGGGGGGGACAUGGGCGAAAGAGGUGCCCAGACAUAGGGAUGGUGCCAAGGCUGGUCAAGUAGGGGCCCCCUGGGGGUCACCCGUGGGGUCAGGUGGUCACAGCCACGACCUGUCUGGACUAAACAGCAGUGUCCCCGCUCCUUGUUCCUCUCCGAGCCACCUCUGGAAUUGAGGGCAGAAUUAACACUGUGAAGCCAGCUUUGUUUCCAGCCUCCUGGGCCUUGAUGCUGUUGCGCUGGAGACAAGUGUCGUACUGGUGAGUAGGGAAUGGCUGGGACAGAGCCCCCCCAAGUAUUAUCCUGUGCCCCUAAGGCCCUGGCCACCAUCUGCAUGGGAAGGAAUUAACAGCAGCCAUCAUCCCACUGCUGCCUCUAAGAAGGUAUUCUCAUUCCCCCAGCCCUCCGGCGGAGUGAGCUGGUGUGGUGGCAGGGAACACAAUCCUGUCCCCCAAAGACUGCGAGUUCCUCCUUCGCUCCUUUCACUGCCACCCCAGGCUAACCAGCACUCCUGCCCUCCUGGCUGAACACCGGGCCUGGGAGCCUCCCAAGUGUGAUCUGGGCUCCACCCCCUCGGGCCCCUUCCAAGACUCUUAGCAAAGAGCUCUAGUUAAAGGACACCCGGGCAUAUCCAUCUUCCCAACGGGCUCUGCCCCACGGUCUCUGCCGGAGACGCACGGAAGGGACGAACUUGUGGCCCAGCUUUCCCGGUAAUGACCACGCCACUCUGCUCCUGGCCUCUGCAACCACCUGGCCCCAUCCUGCCUCUCAUGGGACAGGGGGUGGGGCUCCAUGGCCCGCUACUGUGUCUCAGCAGAUGGAAUAAGGCAGGCAAGACAAGAGCACUUGGAGAAGGGAAGAGGAACUCAGGACCGACAGAUAUGGCGUGAGGAGGGCAAAGGAGAGGAGGCUCUGAGAACCUGGGCUGGGGAAAAAACAGCCAGCCAGCAUCCAGGACGCUCCGCAGACCAAAUGGCUGGGCGCUUAAUUCUUGGGCAGUCUCUAUUCCACACCCUCCCAACUUUGUAGUCCUAGAAUCGACCACACCUGCCCUCUCUCACCACUACCCUCUGCAAUCUAGAAAUCCCUCCACCAGGACUCAAGAGCUUGAGGACUUCCCGAGUUGGGAAGUUCACUCUUAUUUGUGGAAAAGGUGUUCUUUAUGUCAAGACAGCCUUGAACCUCAUCCAAGAGCUGAAGUUCUGCCUCAUGAGCUUUGUGGAAUACUACACUUUGCCCACCUGGCAGCUUUGGAGAAAGCAAUCCUGUCCUUUCUGUCCAACUCUGUCUUGUUUUCUAGAGGAAACAUGCCUGACCCUUCUGAAGACUCCUCUAAGGACAAUGUCCACCAGGAUCCCUCCUGUGCUCCUCCAUGUGGGGUGCCUGCUUUGGGGCCCCUCCAUUGUGAGGCCAGACUUCCCUAGUGACGGGGCGAGGUAGGGCAUGCUGCCCCUGGGACUAGGUCUGUGUGGGGUUCACUGGACCAUCACCUCCCUUGUUGUGAACACAAACCUCUAUUAAUUCAGCCCAAGUCCAACUCUUCCACAAGAACUGCCAUUCGGUUUUGCUGUCCCCA